rnacentral:rRNA from 1 species
UACAGAGGGUGCGAGCGUUAAUCGGAAUUACUGGGCGUAAAGGGCGCGUAGGCGGUUAGAUAAGUUGGAUGUGAAAUCCCUGGGCUUAACCUAGGAACUGCAUACAAUACUGUUUAACUGGAGUGCGGUAGAGGGUAGUGGAAUUUCCGGUGUAGCGGUGAAAUGCGUAGAUAUCGGAAGGAACACCAGUGGCGAAGGCGGCUACCUGACUGACACUGACGCUGAGCGCGAGAGCGUGGGAGCAAA